rnacentral:rRNA from 1 species
AGGGCUUGACAUACGCUGGAAUGGGCCGGGAGACCGUCCGAGCCUUUCGGGGCCGGCGUACAGGUGCUGCAUGGCUGUCGUCAGCUCGUGCUGUGAAGUGUUGGGUUAAGUCCCGCAACGAGCGCAACCCCUGCCAUCUGUUGCCAGCAAGUGAAGUUGGGGACUCAGGUGGAACUGCCGGUGACAAACCGGAGGAAGGUGGGGACGACGUCAAGGUCAUCAUGGCCCUUAUGUCCUGGGCUACACACGUGCUACAAUGGCCGGUACAGAGCGCAGCGAAGCCGCGAGGCAAAGCGAAUCGCAAAAAGCCGGUCUCAGUACGGAUUGGAGUCUGAAACCCGACUCCAUGAAGUUGGAAUCGCUAGUAAUCGCGCAUCAGCAUGGCGCGGUGAAUACGUUCCCGGGCCGUU